GACGAACCGUCCAAACGUUAUUCGGAAUCACUGGGCUUACAGAGUUCGUAGGCGGUCUGGAAAGUUGGGUGUGAAAUCCCUCGGCUCAACCGAGGAACUGCGCUUGAAACUACCAGACUCGAGGGAGAUAGAGGAAAGCGGAACUGAUGGUGGAGCGGUGAAAUGCGUUGAUAUCAUCAGGAACACCGGUGGCGAAGGCGGCUUUCUGGGUCUUACCUGACGCUGAGGAACGAAAGCCAGGGGAGCAAACGGGGA
rnacentral:rRNA from 1 species